CAGCCCCCCGCGAUGACGGGUAUUCUUGGGUAGAUAAUACCGACGGUGCUGUUAUUGCUUGAGAAUACACGUAGUCGAGAGGAG
rnacentral:pre_miRNA from 1 species